rnacentral:lncRNA from 1 species
GCAGAUUCCCUGAGCCCUUUUAUUCCUAUCCUUUUGCAUUCUUAUUCUAUAUAAGGGCACUCACACUCUUUCAUUAAAAAGGGGGGGGGGGGACACUUUCAGAAAUUCCACUCCUUGCAUCUUCAUUUUUUAGAAAACUUUCUGGAAUUCCAGCUUUAAAGUUGUGGAAAAAAAAGAGCAAGUUUCUUUUAUCUUUUCUGGGAUCUAAAGUCGAGUUUUCUUGACUUCAUUUGCUGCUCGUUCUUCAUUCUUGCUGGUUUUCUGUUGCUGUUUGGUUCUUGCUGCACUUUCUCAACUUCAGAGGCUUAUUUUUUGUUUUCUUUACUUAUUUGGUUCUGCUGGAAUAGGUCAGUUUCAAGCCUUAUGUAUUGCAUUUGCAUUGAAUGACCAAAUAUGUUUAUGUUCAUGUUGAUUCUUGCGUGUUUUGGUUUGUUGGUACCCUAAUAUCUGGCUUCAUGAGUUGUUUAAUUCAAACGUGAUUGAAAUAGUGAAAUUAAUUUGAAAUGUUGCAAUCGUUUGAGUUAAUCCAAUGUUUCUGAUUAUUCAAGCAUUUUUCAUUAGCUGCUGAAUUUGUUAAGCUUGAAUGAGAUCAAGGUUCUCUGUUUCAAUCUUGCAAGCUUGAUAACAGUUCAAACAGAAGUUUCAUUAUGAUGUUCUGUACAUAACUAUGUGUUGAUUUUAGGCUACCAAGAGCUUCAUCAUUGUAGUUUGCGGAUCUAACCACUAGUUGGUCAGAUCAGUAAAUUCCAAGGCCAUGGAAUGGAUUCAAAGUUCAGCAGAAAGAGGUUUAGGUUGAAGAUUUAGUUAUAUUUUGUUUUGAGUUAGCUUUUAGUAUAACUGAUUCUGGUUCUGUAUGCUUUUAGUAUAAAUAAAUUUGGUUUUGUAAGUAUUUAAAAAUAGUUGAGUCUAUUACCCCUAUGAGGAUUGUAAUUGGAAUGGCCAGUAAGUGUGAAAAGAAUCUUAUCAUGACACUCAUAUCAAUUAAGUGGUGAUUGAAUGUUUUAUAGCUCUCAUAAUUUGUAUUGUGGUUUCAAAACUUUAAAAAUUGAUCUUGUUUUAGUGAUAGCUUGCAAUGUCGUAUGGCUCUCGUAUUUGAAUUGUUGUUUCAAAACUUUAAG